GACCCAAAAAUCUGGCAUCGGUCGGGCUCUAUUAUGUACUGUUGGCCAUGCUCAAUUUUUGUCAUCUCCCUUCACAACAGGUGAAAAGAAAACAAUUGCAUCAUACAAAGACAGCGUGCAGCACAGCAUGCAGCAUAACAUCGCACACUUCAAUCUCUUUCCUUGGGAUCUUGGUAAGUUAAAUGUUAAAUUUGCUAAAGUAUCGUAACUGUAGCAGCAACACGUGUGCUAUUGACUCUGUGUUUCCUUGAAAAUAGCAUUAGCCACACGUGGCGUUUAAUAUUUUUCAGUUUGCACACUUCAGUUUCUUCCUUUGGGAUUUCAGCGAGUUUAAAUUUGAAAUUUAGCUAAAAUAUCGCCAUUGUAGCAGCAACACGUGUGUUAUUAACUCCGUGUUUCCUUGAAAAUAGCAUUAGCCACACGUGGUAUGUAUAGCUAUUGAGUUUCUCUCAUAUAAAGUUGAAUGUUGCUAUUUGAAAGCGUGAAUCGCACUGUUAUUGUAUCAUACGUGUAUGAAUGUGCUAUGUAACAUGUGUAUGAAUGUGCCAUGUAAUAACCUUGUGUUAAUUUUAAGUAGGCUAUAGCUCAUUCAAGGUGGCUAUUAGUUGAGCCUAUGCACUUAAAUGAAGUUAGCUAAUGCAGUACUGUUAGAAACCAUGCACUAGCGCUUAGCAAGUGCGCUACAUUUGGGUAUAUGAUGUAGCCAUAUCUUCUAUUGUGCAUGACAGUGCAAGAGGGUUAGUUCACAUGCAUUUAAAUGAUUUUACAAUCAACUAAUGAUUUACUUGAUUGUUAAAGGUUUAUUGCCAUGUAUUUAUAUUGAGUUCAUGGUUUAAAAAAUUAUUUGCUAUAGUUACAUCAGAAUCAGAAUCGGGUUUAUUGCCAAGUAGGUUUACACAUACAAGGAAUUUGUUUUGGUCAGGUGGUGCGUAACAGUGAACAUAAAAUAAGAUAAAUAGAGUAAGAUGAACAAUAGUGCAGUAAAAAACAUAACAGA